rnacentral:lncRNA from 1 species
CUUAUAUUCACUGAAGUUUUCAAGUAGUAUAUCCCUUGUAUCAGAAUAUGAAAUCUCUAGGAGAAGGCUGGUCUAGAAAGACUUAUUUCUAAGAUUCUAAGUCUCAAAUGUUAAGGGAAAACAUACUUUAUAAACUUGGAAAAUUUAGUACCCCAAAAUUAAGCUGAAAAUUUCAUUACAGAAAUAUUCAGUAUAGUUUUCCAUCCUCUUAACAAUUAAAAAUCACUUCAAAAUCUACUUAAGUACAAACAUGACAAAAAUAUUCAUGAAAAAUGAUUAAAUAGAAUUUAAGUGCCUAUUAACCACCAAGAAUAAGUUUGAGCACAGUAAUUUUAUUAAGGGUAAAAUUAGAGAAUGUGGAUCAUAAAUACAUCAAAUGCAGUUCAUUUCCUGUAAUAAAAAUUGUAUUUUGCUUAAAAUGAAAUAUUUCUAAAUUUGU